CAAAUUCCUAAAUCAGAUAUACAUCCCUAUUUCCUUCCAGCUCUCUCAGAAUAGUAAAAAGUGGCAAUACUGAGAGGAAGGUUAGAAUGUAGGUGUUCUUGGGCAAAUUUAGAAGCACAAUGUUCAUAAGACUAAUUAUGCAUUUCUGUACAAACUUUUAGAAAUCUUAUAUAAUAGGAAGAAAGAAGAAGCUGUUGUGCUCCACAUGGAAGACUCUGUUGUAUCUGAAACAAGAAACCAGGCUCCAGGUUCAUUGUGUGCAUGUAAAAGGACUCUCCAGGUCCCUGAACUUUUAAACUCAUAUACAUUCAGAAAAAGCAGAGGAGAACCUGGCUGUGUUUCAAAGACUUCUCGCAGCCGCGGAGAACAGCUCGCGAAAAUUCAACUGCGGCGCCAUCUACUGGACACACGCCGCGCUACCAGGUCCUGCGGGCAAGGAGAUGUCGAGGUUGCAGAUAAAGGCCCGGUUUUUUGCCCAGGAAAAGCUCGGACACCAAGCUAUUAUCAUGAACUGAAAAAUCAAUCGCACCUAUUAAAGAGAGCCGGGCGUGGUGGCGCACGCCUGUAAUCCCAGCACUCAGGAGGCUGAGGCAGGAGGAUUGCGGCGAGUUCGAAACCAGCCUGGGCUACACAGUGAAUUCCAGGUC
rnacentral:lncRNA from 1 species